CAAGCGUUUGCCCCUAACAGCACAUUUGGUGCAUUAAUUUUCUCUAAAAAAAACACACACAUUUAUAUGUUUCAACUUGAAAACGGAGGAAAUAUGCUGAGUUUGCGGGGCAAGGUCCGGCGCACUUACUAACAAUUUUGAUGAGACACAUUUGGACACUUGCACUGCCGACAUGACAGCUGAGUGCUCCGGCCACGUUUUUUGGCGCGGUGAUUCUCUACCAGAUAAGAUGCAUACAUAUGUCCGCCUUGCCUUGAGGGGGCAGUCAGUGCAUUCAAUCUUAUUAAAACCUGCGUGCGGAGCCCUAAAAUCCAUUUCGCACAGCUGAAGGGAGGCAAAAACACGUAAAUUUCAUUGAUUUAGUGAUGUCCGAUUUUUCCGGCGAAUAAGGACGAAGAAAAAUAAGAGGGUCUUGGAAAAGGAAGCGCUAGCCUGUGUCUGCUACAUAAGAGUACUAUACAUAUAUCCAUACGAAUAGAGUAUACCCUUUUACCCCACGAGUACCGUGCCUAAUAGUAUACAUAAAUAAAGAGCAAACACAAA